rnacentral:lncRNA from 1 species
CUUUGACCCCCUGUCAGUAUUUUGACCAUAUCUCGAGAACCAUUCUCCGAUUGACGCAAUUCAAAAUGAUAUGAAAAUAGACGAAAUUUCGGACCUCAUAGGCACAACCUGCGAUCGCAGGUUGUCUCCUUUCGAUCACAGGUGACCCUUUUUGCGAUCACAGGUGUGGUCGCAGGUUGCCUUCGAGGUUCUUUUGUGCCCAAAAUUCAUCCGGGAGUGAAAACUCAAUACCUGCGAUCGCAGGUAUUGAGUUUUCACUCCCGGAUGAAUUUUGGGCACAAAAGAACCUCGAAGGCAACCUGCGACCACACCUGUGAUCGCAAAAAGGGUCACCUGUGAUCGAAAGGAGACAACCCGCGAUCGCAGGUUGUGUACAUGCGAUCGCAGGUGCACCGUUUUUUCUACUGGACGUAUAAAUAGACCCUAAUAGCAUUCCUGUAACCUAAGUUGGCGAUUUCAGAGGUUCCAGACGACGAAAAUACGAUUUUGGAGGCGUUUCUUCUCUACUUUCAUCAAUUUCUGAAGACCUGAAGAAUGUGGAUCAUCUCCUAUGUUCAGUUUAGUAAGAUUUAGUAGUUUAAUGUUUCUUUUUAUUGUUUUAGAUAGGAUUUUAGCCAUGUCUGGCUAAACCCUAGUUUUCAGUUCUGAAAAGACAAGNCUGCAAAAGACAAGUACUUUUCAUGUGAUUGAUCAUUAGAUCUGGAUUUUUAUUUGUGUUUCUAUCUAGAUUCUUCAGUUUUGAGCUUAAUGAAUGUUUGAUUUGAAUUCUUGUUAGUCUGAUCACCUAGCUAGGAUUUUAUCAUUUCAGUUAAUCAGUUAAUAGAAUUCAUAAUUUUUCUAAUAAAUUGGUAAAAGUAACAAGUAUUAAAUCGGUUCCGAGUUUGGGAUUUGACUUUAUUAUAAACUGUAAAAAGCAUACCUUUACGCUUCCGAGCUUGUGAGAAGUAUUAGGUAUUGCUGGGAAUUUUACACAAAUCAAAAAGCAAUUUUUCUGAUUUAAUUAAGAGCUUGUUUAAUUGAACAGUAAAAAUUUAGGGUUAAUUAAAGAGCUUGUUUUGGUUAACUAAUUAAGGUAAAAGAGAAAUUACUAGAGCUUGUUAGUUUUUCUCAGUACCAGCUUAGAUAGAACGCAUCACAAAUAAUCAGAUCUGGAUCAGUUACAUGAUUAGGAAAGUCGCAGCAAAACUGAAACCGUUUUUAUUAUUGAUUUUCAUUUAGUUUAAUAUCACUGUAAUUUUAGUUUUUAGUUUAAUUUAAAACCCCCUUUUAUAAUUUCUGUUUUGACUAGAUGUGCCUGAUGCAAAAAGGCAUUGACUUUUAGGUUGUGUCCCUGGGGAUUCGACCCUGCUUGCCUGUGCUAUAUUUUUAGUGCAACCAACAGUGAUAAAUUUAUUUGUUUAAUACGUGUGCGACAGCGUGUUAACACCUAUACUUGACACAACCCGAGCAAAUAGAAGCUAGAUUCGAGUUCUCGCAGAAACCGCAAGUAGAUGAUUUCCUAGUUAUCGUCCUUGAAUUCUGAAACCCUAAAAAAAUUAAUGCAACGACCAAUAUCAAGCUAACGGAUUACAACAAUUACUGUACAAAAUUAUUUUACUAAUAUAAUCAACGAAUGCAAAUAUUCUAAUUGAAAUUGUUGGGAAGAUCUACCAAAUACGUUGCCCCAGAUAUCGAACAAAAACACUGUCCCCCUUUAACUUUCUACAUAGUUGACCAUGUGGGGUUUUGCUAUCGAAGACGAAAUUGAUGAAUACAAUCGAUUUAUAUGUUGUAGUUAUGUGGGUAUGAGUUUGAAAACUUCCUAUGAUAGUGAGGGGUUCCUCCAUGACUACCUUCGAUUAGAUGUACAGUAAUUCUCAACUCUUGAUUUGAUAAAGGCUACAACUCCGGAUUUCCGAUUAGAACUUGUGGACGAUCAGUGAGGGGUUUCCGAACACGAUCCGAAAGCGUCGAUACCCUCUAGGAUGCUAGGGCUUUAUCGGGUGGGAGAUUGAGGAAGACACACUUAUUUAUUUAGUCAAUACCAUUAUUAAGGGAUUAUUUUUAGAAUUUACUAAGCAAAUUACUAAAUUACUCUUAUUUAUUUAAUUAAUUAUUUAAUUUUUUAUUUAAUUUUGAUUGGCCCACAUUUAUGCAUACAAUAACACAAUAAUUACUUUAAAUACCUCAACCUAGCACUCUCUCUCUCUCUCUCUCUCUCUCUCUUUCUAUAUAUAUAUAUAUAUAUACUCAUUUUAAUUCAGCUUUUACAUCUUUUUAUCAUUCUCUCUAUAUUUUAUACACUUUCUUAAUCAAAAAAUGGAUCAAAACCCAAACACCCCCCCUCCAUCAUCAAACCCAAACACACAACCAAACACAACCUCGCUUCUCGGAUUUGCAGGUUAUGAAAAUUAUUUUAACAUUUUAUUGUCUCAAGGAUCACCACAAAAUCUCAUACCAAGGCGCCGCUUUCAAUCCCGCUUCACCACCACUACAAUUUCCCAACUCACCUGACCUUCAACAAAAUAUAUUGGUCAAAACCCAAAUUUACAACAAAAUAUUUUCCCUACUUUUACGUCGAUGCAACAAACAACCAACCAACCCCCACCUACAACACAAUCAUCGGUUGAAGUGGAAGCGGGAGGUAGUAGGAGAAGGAAAGGGAAAGUAAAAUCGAAUGGGAAAUCGAUAGCGGUUGAAACAGAAAAUGCAGACGUUCCACAAUGAUGGGCACCGAAGGAGAAAUAUGCUUUGACGACGACUGUGUGUACGACUUCAAAAGACGAACUCCACAGAAAUGGAAUGAAGAAAGGAGCUUAUUGGGGGGGGGGGGGGGGGNGGGGCGGUGCGCGACAAGUUUCAUGCUAUAUUGAAGAAAAAUCUAUAUCGCAACAAUGACAUGUUGAGCAACAAAUGGAGUCAAAUAACUAAGCGGUGCAACAAAUUCAACGGUAUUUACAACCGGCUUGAGGCGCAACAGCAAAGCGGAACCAACGAAUUCGAUUUGUUCAAAUCAGCAAAAGAACAAUAUCGGGUCGAAAUGGGACAUGUUUUCGAGUUUGAAAAAUCAUGGGAGUUGUUGUGAGCGGAUCCAAAGUGGAAUAAAACGCCUACAUCGUCGGAGGUUCAAUCCAAAAGGUCUCGCAAUUCAAGCUCGAUCGACGUGUCGGACGUACGGAAUCACAUCAACCUAAACGUCAUCAUUUGGAUUUCCUAGAAAGGCAGGCACGGGAGAAGCAAGAGCAAAAAGAUAGGGAGCUAAUGACAGAACAAUUGUCAAUUCUUCGAACUAGCGAUGAGGGUUUGACGUCUCAAGAUCUAGCGGUGCUACAAGCAAUGAAAGAUCAAAUUAGGAAGAAUUAUUUGGGUUAAUUAUGAUUUUAGGAGUAAUUUGAAUGGUGUUUUAGGAGUAUUGUUGAAUUACUAGUAUUGUUGUGUGGUUUUAGGAGUAAUUUGAAUGGUAUUGUAGUUAUGAUUUUAGGUUUAAAAUUAUGUUUUUUUAAUUGUAAUCGUAAUUUUAGAUUUUUAAUAUUAUGUGUUUUUUUGUUUUUAAAAUUUUAUGUUUUAUAAAAAUAUAUUCAUUUUAGUGAUUAAAAAAACGUAAAAAGAAAAAAAAUGAAAAAAAACGAAAAAAAAAGAAAACCAAAUUAAAAAUAAAAUAAAAAAUAAAACAUAUUUAUUCUCAAAAAGUUGGUGUUGCAUCUUGUUGCAUAUUUCUCUACUUGGUAUUAUAACAAUAUUUUCUAUGUAACAUGUGAGGUGACACAACUUAAUGUUACAUCUUAUUAUCUUAUUGCCUACUCCCCGUUCUAAUAUAUAACUAGGUGUGAGACCCAUGUAGACCUGACAAUGGGGCGGGUUUGGAGCGAAUCGACCUUGAUCCAAACCCUUUUAACAAAUUCCAAAACCCGAUCCAAACCCGUAGAGUUUUGAAUAAUCAAACUCAUACCCUUAUCCUCCGAAUCAGCAUAUAUCCAACCCCACCCCGUAACCCGUAGGUUUUUUGAAUAAUCAAACAAAUUUUACUUAAAUCAUAAAAUCACAUUUGUUAAAUAAAACAAAUGUUGAUUUAGAAAACACAUUAUAUACUCGAAAACUUUUGAUUGUAAUUAAAAUCAUUGUUGUAGUUACUUCUAAUUAGUUUUUGAUCCUUGAUUGCAUUGAUAGAAAAUGACAAUUAUAAACUUUCUUCAAGUUGAUAAAUGAAUUUAUUGAUUUAUAAAUGAAAUUGGUGAUUACAUGAUAAAAUAUAAAUGAAAUGACAUCACGAUUCUUGAGAGAAUAAUGAAAGUCUAGAAGUUGAGUCCCCGAAUCCUAUGUAUAAAUAGUUUAGUCUUUGGCCUUUUCUCUUUGGACUUUAAUUUGGAAUUUAAAGUAAAAUUUAGGCGGCAUAAAAUAUAAAUGUAUAAUUUUAAAAUUUAUAACGGGCGGGUUAUAAAUGGAGCGGAUCGAUGAUGAUCUAUACCCGACCCUUUUAAUAAAAUGGUUAGCGGGUACGAGUCGUUAACGGGUAAAGGAAUAAAAAACUAUGCUCCAAANNNNNNNNNNNNNNNNNNNNNNNNNNNNNNNNNNNNNNNNNNNNNNNNNNNNNNNNNNNNNNCCGGGCCUAGACCCAUGUAUUACAUUAGUUUAUUUAAAAAAAAAAUUAAAUAUAAAAUUUUAACAAUUUGAAAAGUUUUAAUUUAUAAGAAAAAUGAGAAAAUUUUGAAUUAUUAAAAUUAAUGAGGCUUUAAUGUAUUAAAUACAUUACAUGUAUAAACUCUUUCUAAUAAAUAUCUUACAUAUAUAUUAUUUUACAUAUUAAAUGUGAAAUUUUAAUUUAAUAAAAUGAAAAAUACAAUACACUGAAAAUAAAAAAUUUAAAAUUUCUAAAAAAUAUAAUGUAUCCAAAUAAAAUAGAAAAAAAUAUCCAAAUAAAAUAGAAAAGAAUAUAUGACAAAAAAAAGUAUUCAUUUAUAAUAGAAGACUAGAAGAGAUAAAGACUAGAAUUAUGAAGUUACUUUUGGAUGUAAUAAUGAUCCUAGUAACCACCGGCUUAAUCUAAACUUGGACAACUAUACAUAGGCGAAGGGUUGGACGAUGUCGUGUCGGGUUAUUCCUUCAUCUCCCUCCAAUCUGCAUACCUCAAAAGUGAAAACCCUCUUUCAUAAUGCUAUCUCUUUCCCUUUCCUCGCCCAAUCCUCGCUAUUGCCUUUCAAACCCCUUCUCUCUAGUAACCAACAACCCCCGUCUUCAUGUAUUCACCAACGACCAAUAUGCCGGAGUUGGAAUCACUUCGCCGGAGGAACCGAUUGUUACUCCGGUGGGACUCCAUCGCGAGUUAAUGCCGAAGCACGUUGCAGUCAUCAUGGACGGAAAUAGGAGAUGGGCUCGGUCGCGAGGAUUGAUGCCCCAGGCGGGCUACUUAGCCGGUGUCGGAGCAUUGAAGGUCGUGGUGGAUCUGUGCCGUAAGUGGGGAAUACAAGUUCUUACAGUCUUCGCCUUCUCAUCUGACAACUGGUUAAGACCCAAAGUAUGUGUAAUAUUGAAAUUGAAUUCCAAUUUCAUCAGAAUUUUUGUGGGUUCAGUCGAUUGAUUGGUUGUGUUUAUGGUAGGUUGAAGUCGAUUUCUUAAUGAGACUGCUUGAAAGCACAUUAAAAGAUGAAGUUGCUUCUAUGUCGAGGUAAUUUCCAGCGCUUAGAAUAAGUUUUCAAUCAAUUUCAAUCCACUUUCAAAAUGUAAUUCUGAUGACAGGGACGAAAUCCGAGUUUCUGUCAUUGGAGACAUAUCUAAGCUUCCACCGUCAUUACGAGAUUUCAUUACACAUUGUGAGAACACCACGAAGAACAAUUCACGACUCAAUCUUGUUAUAGCGAUUAAUUACAGUGGGAAGUAUGAUAUCGUCCAAGCUUGUCAAAGCAUCUGCCAAAAAGUCAAAGAUGGUGAGGUUGAACCUGAAGAAAUCAAUGAGUUUAUGAUCGAUAAUGAACUUUGUAUGAAGUUGAUACGGUUUCCAGACCCUGAUCUUCUUAUUCGGACAAGUGGGGAGAUUAGAGUGAGCAACUUCUUUUUGUGGCAAUUGGCAUAUACUGAACUAUACUUCACUGAAACCCUUUGGCCGGAUUUUGGAGAAGAUGAACUUCUACGUGCUUUUCAUACUUUUCAACAGAGACGGAGACGAUAUGGGGGAUGAGAUAUUCGUGGGCUAAUAAUGUAACUAUGUAACACUCAAAACGAAGAUAAGUAUUCUAUUGCAAUGGUAUAUAUAUUUCAAUUUCUUUGUAUUUUUUUUUUGUCAAAUAUAUCAUAUAAAAUGUAACUUCCUCAUCAAACGGUUUGCUUCAAGAUAUUUAAUGAAAUCACCAACAUAAGCUUCAUAUCAAGGAUACGAAUGCUAAUGCAAAGCAAACUGAGACUAGACUACCAACAGCUAAAUGAGCAAAAUUGAGGUGAAAUAGUGCAUGCUAAAAACUUUUAAAAGGUUGUCUCUUAAUGGUUCUAUUAAGAGGCUUACAAAAUAACCCUUUAGUAUCUUGCUCCAACGUAAGACGUUGAUUUUGUAUUUUUGGCAAUGACCGGUGAUUUUGGAUUUGUUCUUCACUCGAAAUCUUAUAAUUACUAUCUUUCUUCUUCCUUUAAGCCAAACAAUACAUAGUAGAUUACGCAAAAUCACCACCAAACUAAUUCAAGAGCACGUCACACUAACAAAUAAUUGAUGUUGAUUUUCAUGUUGUGUUGAAUGAUAAAAGCUAAAUGUAUUAUCACUUUUACCGCAUCAUCUCUUCAAGAUCUUGUCAUUUAAAGGGGAUCGUUUGCCACUUUUGUCAUAAGAUUUUUUUUCUCUUAUUUAAAACUAAAAUUAAUUUAUAUAAUACUAAAUUUUCAUUAAAAUUAAAAAGACAAAUUCACUUGAAAUUAAAUGAAAGAUAACGAGCUUAAAAUUAAAUAAAACACAAGAUACUUGAAAUUUAAACAUAACAAACAUCAAAACAUGAAAAUAACACAACUUGAUUCGACAUAUUGACGUCAUUUUUCGCACCCAAUUAUAACUUGCCAAAACUAUACAAAUUGGAAAGGUUCGUUACUUUCUGCACGGAAAGUUUGAAGAGUAUUGACUAACACAAUUUCAUCAUUUUCACCAUUUUCUGACGCACAUUUCACUCUAAGAAACAUAACGUGAAAAUGUACUAACACUGUCGGGGCCGGUCUUGAGGAUUCAAUUGCCUAGAACGAGCUGGAAAAAAGACCCUUAGUUCCUUAGUUCUAACGAGUAACGAAUUAAAUUGCAUAAACUAGUUUUUUUUAAAUGACGAUAUACUUGAUUUUACAUGAGCUUAGAUUGUAGUGCAUGAUCUAAACAACUGCUUAUUCACCAAUAUAGUUAACCAAACUAUCUUAGGUAGAAUUUAGUGGAAUCCGUUUCAAUUUUCAAGCAUCUUUACAUCACCUAAAAUAAUUAGUGAUCACACCAUAUUCACAUAAUUAAGAUCACAUUUGUUUAUUUAUAUAGUUUACCUAGACCAUAUUGCAAGAAGGAAUUGACACGAAUAACAUAUAAUUUUGGACGUUACAAGAAGGAGAAGAGCAAGUAGAAGAAAACCACCCAGAACAACCAACCUAAAGGAAUAUAGUAGAAACAAGAAUAGGAUAUUAAGACUAUCAAGUGUUCAAAUCAUUGUAAGGUUAUAAACAAGAAUAGGAUAUUAAGACUAUCAAGUGUUCAAAUCAUUGUAAGGUUAUAAACAAGAAUAGGAUAUUAAGACUAUCAAGUGUGCUUGAAAGGUUUAUGAUUUUUAAAAAUCAAUUUCCUAUUUCAAUCUCACACUUGGAUAACUACUUGGUCAUCAGAAUAUAGUAGAAACAAAAGCUUCAUUUUAAUCGAAUAUCAUAUAAGUUAUUGUCUUUCUCUGCGAUUUUCCUGGUGAUGCCUUGUUAAGAUUGGGGCAAAAGUGCAAAACAUUUGAGUUUCAUGAUAAUAGUUUAGCUAAGUAUAGAAAUCACCAAAUGCAAGUCAAUUAUGAUUUACCAGUGAUCUUUAUCAUUACUAACAAUCAUGUUGGACUCCAUAUGUUUAUUUCUGAAAGAAAUGUACUCCUAAUAUCCACCCCUCAUAAAUAUUCUAACUUGAUCGAUGGAAAAUAUACAAUUUCUCGAUUUUUACUUAGUGUUCUUGAGGAGUUCCAGACUGGGAUCAACAAUAUAAACACCGGUAGUUCAAACCUAACUACAAAAAGUUGAAGAAUGAAGAAUUAUGGGUUGAUGGAAGUACCUUUUGAGAGGAAGAGCCGAUACCUAGAGGGUUUGAUGAAGACGAAGAAGCAGGCACCACACACAGGCGGCCCCGCCCGUGACCAACUCCCUUGCUUGAAGCGUUGAAUGACUGCGUCUGGCCUUCUACCUACUGCCUUCGCGUGUGGAUUAUGGAGUAAUCAAUCUAUCCUUUGCAUUUUUUGUGCCUAUUCCUGAAUAUAGCAUAAAAAAUUGGGUCCCUAAAACAUUUAGGCCCUGUNCCCCCCAAAAAAAAAAGGGCCUGCACAUUGUAUUUGUUUUUUUCUAUUUGGCGAAAAGUUGAUCGUUAGUUCGAUGGUGACUUUAACGUAUUUCGUUGUUGUGUCGAUCCAUAUACAAGCCAAAACGAUCUCUUCUGCUAUGGUUCAAGAAUAAGCCAUUUCUGAAAAUUGUGAAAAAUGAAAAUGUUUGUUUGUAUUUAUUUUAGUUGGAAAGGAGUUUGAAAUUUGAAAGUUCUGAAAAAAAAAUAUUAUAAUUUGGAAAAUAAGGUAUUUUUUGAAAAGUGGUAUAAAAAAUUAAAAACAAUUCAGCAAAUUGCCGAUUUCAAACUCAGCAUGCCAAGCUAAGAGAGUGGUAUUCGUCGAGUCCAACUCAGCAUCGGACAAGCUAAUAUCAAACAACCUUAGUUACAACAUCACAAUACACAAGCAAUAUGCCACAUGACAACAAGAUGGAAAAAUUUGUGAAAUUGCCAAAAAAAAGAAGGGUUGGUCGAAGAAAAUGACCAAGAAUUAGGAGUUUUCGAAAAAAAUGACCAUGACUUCUAUAGAGAAGGUCUGUGCGGAAGUCUUUUAGCUUUGAGGGACAAGAAAACUCUCUAAGGAAAUGAGUUGGCGGGGGAAAAGGAAAAAAAGUUUAUAAAAUUUUAAUUUCGUAAAAGGUGCAUCAUUCCACAUAGAUGCCUUUUAUGGAUCUGCUUUUGAAAAGUACUUUUAUGAGGAAUUGUUCUUUGCUAAAACAUGGUCUAUGUUGGCUAAAUUGUCGAAGAAGUAGACUUAGAAACAUAGUUUUAUAGUUUAAAUUGUUAUUUUGAAUCAUUGAUAUGUGCUAAAUGUUGAUACAUCAUUAGAUUUAAAAGAAAAUAAAUAUCAAAAUCGUUAUUAGGUCAUGUUUUAGUAAAGAACAAUUUUUUAGAGGAGUACAUGUGAAGAAUAGAGCCACAGAGGACAUCUCUGUGGAACGAUAAACCCUCUGCGGAAUUAAAAUUUUAUAAUUUUUUUUUAUCUUUUUGUUUUUUCCGUUAUUUUUCGAAACCUCCUAAUUCUUUAUCAUUUUCUUUCAUAAAGCCCCUUCUUUUUUUUCAUUUCACAAAUUUUCUCUACGAGGAUAUUCAUACAAACGUUAACUAUUGGUCACAGUACCCAGAUAUAUUUUUCCCAAUUCAUGUGAACCACAUACCACCAUCCUCCGAAACCACCACUAGAUAAGGGGUUAUAGAUAAGGCCUAACCAUUCUUAUCCGUGAGAUGGAUUCACGUACUUCAUCCAACGGUUACCAAACCCUCACUUAGAUAACCCCUGAACAACCAUCCAACUCUAUACAUCAACAACUAAAUUCAUACUUGAACCCACACUUAUCCCACGACAAACCGGAGCACAGUAGCCUCCAUCACCGACAGUCAUGGCAUCCACCGCAGCUGCGGCCGCCGCCACGUCUUCUUUCAUGGGAACCCGUCUCCCGGAACUGCAUUCCAGUUCUGGUCGAGUCACGGCCCGGUUUUCCUUCGGAAAGAAGAAAGCAGCACCUAAGAAAGUGUCCAAACCCGUCACAUCCGACCGGCCGUUAUGGUAUCCAGGUGCAAAAGCGCCGGAGUAUCUCGAUGGAAGCCUGGUUGGAGACUACGGGUUUGACCCAUUUGGUCUAGGUAAACCCGCUGAGUAUCUUCAGUUUGAUUUGGACUCAUUGGAUCAAAACUUGGCUAAGAACUUGGCUGGGGACGUGAUCGGAACCAGGUUCGAGAAUGAGGACGUGAAGUCGACUCCUUUCCAACCAUACACCGAGGUGUUUGGGCUUCAGAGGUUCAGGGAGUGCGAACUGAUACACGGGAGAUGGGCUAUGUUGGCUACCCUUGGUGCGCUUGUUGUUGAAUCGGUGACUGGUGUUACAUGGCAAGACGCUGGAAAGGUACCAUAUAUAUAUGUAUAACCUAAUCUGUAUCAUUUAUCAAUCAUAAAAACAAAAGAGCUCAUUAACUAAUCUUUUUAUUUGACAUUUGCUUUCUUUUAGGUGGAACUAAUCGAUGGUUCAUCUUAUUUUGGACAACCGUUACCCUUCUCUAUCACUACUUUGAUUUGGAUCGAGGUUUUGGUUAUCGGAUACAUUGAGUUUCAAAGGAACGCUGAACUGGAACCUGAGAAAAGACUCUACCCAGGUGGUCCAUUCGAUCCAUUGAACUUGGCAGCUGACCCUGAAAAGAAAGCUGUUCUUCAAUUGGCGGAGAUCAAGCAUGCUCGUCUUGCUAUGGUGGCGUUUCUUGGGUUUGCUGUCCAGGCUGCAGCCACCGGAAAGGGCCCGCUCAACAACUGGGUAACCCAUUUGAGUGACCCGCUUCACACUACCA